AAGUCGUAACAAGGUUUCCGUAGGUGAACCUGCGGAAGGAUCAUUAUUGAAUUAAACUUGGUGUGGUUGUCGCUGGCUUCUAGGAGCAUGUGCACACCCUCCAUUUUUAUCUAUCCACCUGUGCACAUUAUGUAGACUUGGUUAACUCUCGCUUUCUAAAGCGGAAACAGAGAUUGCUUUUGGGCUUUCUUUGAAUUUCCAAGUCUAUGUUAUUCUACACACCCCAAUGAAUGUUAUAGAAUGUAGUCAAUGGGCUUUUUAUAGCCUAUAAAACUUAAUACAACUUUCAGCAACGGAUCUCUUGGCUCUC
rnacentral:misc_RNA from 1 species